CCUUGAAGGGGUAUCCAGAGGUGCACAUUAGGGCACGUAAUGGCGCUAUACAAUAUACACACACUUUUCAUCAUUUGUGUUAUAAGUUUCAUGUAAUAGGGGGUGAGCCUAUUGCCAUAUACUAGGCACAAUUUCAGACUCCGUGCUACCAAUGAAAAAUUUUUGAGAAACCGAAAAAAGUCCAGUAUCUAAUAAUUUGCCCGACCCGGGAAUAGAACCCGAUACCAACGAGGCAGGCAGACACUAUGUUGCAUACUUUCUUAUCAUAAUGUUCACAUGUAAACAGGGACUCGUGUAGUGUAGAUGUCCAGUCAACUGAUGGUAGCGAGGUUCACUGUCCAGUGACACACGUACGCUGGUAUCGUCAUGAGCUAAUGUUCACAUGUAAACAGUGACUCGUGUAGUGUAGAUGUCCAGUCAACUGAUGGUAGCGAGGUUCACUGUCCAGUGACACACGUACGCUGGUAUCGUCAUGAGCUAAUGUUCACAUGUAAACAGUGACUCGUGUAGUGUAGAUGUCCAGUCAACUGAUGGUAGCGAGGUUCACUGUCCAGUGACACACGUACGCUGGUAUCGUCAUGAGCUAAUGUUCACAUGUAAACAGUGACUCGUGUAGUGUAAUGUCC